CCUACGGGAGGCAGCAGUAGGGAAUCUUUCACAAUGGGCGAAAGCCUGAUGGAGCAACGCCGCGUGCAGGAUGAAGGCCUUCGGGUUGUAAACUGCUUUUAUAAGCGAGAAAUAUGAUGGUAACUUAUGAAUAAGGAUCGGCUAACUACGUGCCAGCAGCCGCGGUCAUACGUAGGAUCCGAGCAUUAUCCGGAGUGACUGGGUGUAAAGAGUUGCGUAGGUGGCAUAAUAAGUAGCUAGUGAAAUCUGGUGGCUCAACCAUUCAGACUAUUAGCUAAACUGUUAAGCUCGAGACCGUUAGGGGUAACUGGAAUGUCUAGUGUAGGAGUGAAAUCCGUAGAUAUUAGAAGGAACACCGAUAGCGUAGGCAGGUUGCUGGGACGGUUCUGACACUAAGGCACGAAAGCGUAGGGAGCAAACGGGAUUAGAUACCCUUGUAGUC
rnacentral:rRNA from 1 species